AGGACGAACGCUGGCGGUGUGCUUCACACAUGCAAGUCGAACGGGGUAGCAAUACCCAGUGGCGGACGGGUGAGUAACGCGUGGGAAUCUGCCUUUAGAUGGGGGAUAACUGACCGAAAGGUUAGCUAAUACCGCAUAUGCCGCAAGGUAAAAGGAGCAAUCCGUCUGAAGAUGAGCCCGCGUCCGAUUAGCUAGUUGGUAGGGUAAAAGCCUACCAAGGCUACGAUCGGUAGCUGGUCUGAGAGGAUGAUCAGCCACAAUGGGACUGAGACACGGCCCAUACUCCUACGGGAGGCAGCAGUGGGAAUUUUGUGCAAUGGGGGAAACCCUGACACAGCGACACCGCGUGAGCGAAGAAGCCCCUUGGGGUGUAAAGCUCUGUCGACAGGGAACGAAAAAAAUGACGGUACCUGUAGAGGAAGCAUCGGCUAACUACGUGCCAGCAGCCGC
rnacentral:rRNA from 1 species